GACGAACGCUGGCGGCGUGGAUUAGGCAUGCAAGUCGAACGGUAGGAUACCUUCGGGUAUCUGAGAGUGGCGAACGGGUGAGUAACACGUAGGUGAUCUACCCUCAAGAUUGGGACAACCCAGGGAAACUUGGGCUAAUACCGGAUGAAAGCAGCAGUGAUGUUGUUUGAAAGGUGGCGUAAGCUGCCGUUUGGGGAUGAGCCUGCGCUCUAUUAGUUAGUUGGCGGGGUAAAGGCCCACCAAGGCGAUGAUAGAUAGGCGGCCUUAACGGGUGGUCGCCCACACUGGGAUUGAGAUACGGCCCAGACUCCUACGGGAGGCAGCAGUCGAGAAUAGUCUACAAUGGCCGAAAGGCUGAUAGUGCGACGCCGCGUGAACGAAGAAGCCCUUCGGGUGUAAAGUUCUUUUAUAUGUGAGCAGUGCUUUCUAUGUGAACAGCAUGGGAGAGAGAUAUUAGCAUAUGAAUAAGCAACGGCUAACUCCGUGCCAGC
rnacentral:rRNA from 1 species